GCAAGUCGAGCGCACCUUCGGGUGAGCGGCGGACGGGUUAGUAACGCGUGGGAACAUACCCUUUUCUACGGAAUAGCCUCGGGAAACUGAGAGUAAUACCGUAUAAGCCCUUCGGGGGAAAGAUUUAUCGGGAAAGGAUUGGCCCGCGUUAGAUUAGAUAGUUGGUGGGGUAAUGGCCUACCAAGUCUACGAUCUAUAGCUGGUUUUAGAGGAUGAUCAGCAACACUGGGACUGAGACACGGCCCAGACUCCUACGGGAGGCAGCAGUGGGGAAUCUUAGACAAUGGGCGCAAGCCUGAUCUAGCCAUGCCGCGUGUGUGAUGAAGGUCUUAGGAUCGUAAAGCACUUUCGCCAGGGAUGAUAAUGACAGUACCUGGUAAAGAAACCCCGGCUAACUCCGUGCCAGCAGCCGCGGUAAUACGGAGGGGGUUAGCGUUGUUCGGAAUUACUGGGCGUAAGCGUACGUAGGCGGAUCAGAAAGUUGGGGGUGAAAUCCCGGGGCUCAACCCCGGAACUGCCUCAAAACUCCUGGUCUUGAGUUCGAGAGAGGUGAGUGGAAUUCCAAGUGUAGAGGUGAAAUUCGUAGAUAUUUGGAGGAACACCAGUGGCGAAGGCGGCUCACUGGCUCGAUACUGACGCUGAGGUACGAAAGUGUGGGGAGCAAACAGGAUUAGAUACCCUGGUAGUCCACACCGUAAACGAUGAAUGCCAGUCGUCGGGCAGUAUACUGUUCGGUGACACACCUAACGGAUUAAGCAUUCCGCCUGGGGAGUACGGUCGCAAGAUUAAAACUCAAAGGAAUUGACGG
rnacentral:rRNA from 1 species